rnacentral:siRNA from 1 species
AUCUUCAGAUCCAUGCAGCUGA